AUGUGUAGUGUGCAACUUUGUUUGGGAAUGGGUGGUAUCGUGAAUGAGUGGGACACAAUUUCUCCGGUGGUCGCUACCAAUCUGGAAUGCCAAGCCAAUAGCCCAUAUGACCAUAUACUUCUGGAGCCUUUUAAGGCACCCAGAUGCGAAGCUACGGCUACUCAAUCUCAGUCGGAGUCUCUCAAGGAUGAUGAAUUUACGGAGGUGUUGGUCAGUCUAUGGGCGAUAUGGUGGGCUUGGCGCAACAAUCAAGGAACAAGGAACAAGAAUAUCAGUUCCCAGUGCCGACCAUCUGUUUUAUUCAAAAAUAUUUGGAAACGUCUCCUCGCCGAAAAACCUGAAAUAAAUUCAAGAUAA
rnacentral:rRNA from 1 species